CACUCCUGCGGGAGGCAGCAGUGGGGAAUAUUGCACAAUGGGCGCAAGCCUGAUGCAGCCAUGCCGCGUGUAUGAAGAAGGCCUUCGGGUUGUAUAGUACUUUCAGCGGGGAGGAAGGCGAUAAGGUUAAUAACCUUGUCGAUUGACGUUACCCGCAGAAGAAGCACCGGCUAACUCCGUGCCAGCAGCCGCGGUAAUACGGAGGGUGCAAGCGUUAAUCGGAAUUACUGGGCGUAAAGCGCACGCAGGCGGUCUUUCAAGUCGGAUGUGAAAUCCCCGGGCUCAACCUGGGAACUGCAUUCGAAACUGGCAGGCUAGAGGCUUGUAGAGGGGGGUAGAAUUCCAGGUGUAGCGGUGAAAUGCGUAGAGAUCUGGAGGAAUACCGGUGGCGAAGGCGGCCCCCUGGACAAAGACUGACGCUCAGGUGCGAAAGCGUGGGGAGCAAACAGGAUUAGAAACCCUAGUAGUCCCAUGAU
rnacentral:rRNA from 1 species